GAGGGUCUAGCUCAGUGGUAGAGCACAUGGCUACCAUGCACAAGAUCCUGGGUUCAAUCCCCAGCACUGCCA
rnacentral:tRNA from 1 species